GUAACGGCGAGUGAAGCGGCAACAGCUCAAAUUUGAAAUCUGGUCCCCAGGGCCCGAGUUGUAAUUUGCAGAGGAUGCUUUUGGUGAGGUGCCUUCCGAGUUCCCUGGAACGGGACGCCAUAGAGGGUGAGAGCCCCGUCUGGUUGGAUACCGAGCCUCUGUAAAGCUCCUUCGACGAGUCGAGUAGUUUGGGAAUGCUGCUCUAAAUGGGAGGUAUAUGUCUUCUAAAGCUAAAUAUUGGCCAGAGACCGAUAGCGCACAAGUAGAGUGAUCGAAAGAUGAAAAGCACUUUGAAAAGAGGGUUAAAUAGUACGUGAAAUUGUUGAAAGGGAAGCACUUAUGACCAGACUUGGCCCCGGUGAAUCAUCCAGCGGUCCCCGCUGGUGCACUUUGCCGGGGUUCAGGCCAGCAUCAGUUCGCUCCGGGGGAUAAAGGCUUUGGGAAUGUGGCUCCCUCGGGAGUGUUAUAGCCCAUUGCGUAAUACCUUGUGGCGGGCUGAGGUUCGCGCUUUAUGCAAGGAUGCUGGCAUAAUGGUCAUCAGUGACCCGUCUUGAAACACGGACCAAGGAGUCGUCUUCGUAUGCGAGUGUUCGGGUGUUAAACCCCUACGCGUAAUGAAAGUGAACGCAGGUGAGAGCCCUCCAGGGCGCAUCAUCGACCGAUCCUGAUGUUCUCGGAUGGAUUUGAGUAAGAGCAUACGGGGCCGGACCCGAAAGAAGGUGAACUAUGCCUGUAUAGGGUGAAGCCAGAGGAAACUCUGGUGGAGGCUCGCAGCGGUUCUGACGUGCAAAUCGAUCGUCAAAUAUGGGCAUGGGGGCGAAAGACUAAUCGAACC
rnacentral:rRNA from 1 species